GCCCGCAUGGUCUAGUGGUAUGACGUUCGCCUCACAAUUUAAUCACUGUGUCCGCGACAGGUCCCAGGUUCGAGCCCUGGUGUGGGCA